rnacentral:rRNA from 1 species
CUGACCGUAAACGAUGCCAACUAGCGAUCCGUCGGCGGCUCUACGGCCCUGAUGGGGAGCUUCCCGGAAACGAAAGUCUUCCGGUUCCGGGGGAAGUAUGGUUGCAAAGCUGAAACUUAAAGGAAUUGACGGAAGGGCACCACCAGGAGUGGAGCCUGCGGCUUAAUUUGACUCAACACGGGAAAACUCACCCGGCCCGGACACCGUGAGGAUUGACAGAUUGAUAGCUUUUUCAUGAUUCGGUGGUUGGUGGUGCAUGGCCGUUCUUAGUUCGUGGAUCGAUUUGUCUGGUUUAUUCCGAUAACGAGCGAGACUCCAGCCUACUAACUAGUACGGGCAUUGCCUCUGUGCCCGGCACUUCUUAGAGGGAUUGGCUGCGUCUAGCGGCACGAAACGGAGCAAUAACAGGUCUGUGAUGCCCUUAGAUGUCCGGGGCUGCACGCGCGCUACACUGGCAAAGGCAGCGUGCUUGUCCGUCUCCGAAAGGAGCCGGUAAACCCUUGAAAAUUUGCCGUGAUUGGAUCGGAAAUUGCAAUUAUUUCCGUGAACGAGGAAUUCCUAGUAAGUGCGAGUCAUCAGCUCGCGUUG